rnacentral:lncRNA from 1 species
UCCCUCCCUUCCUUCCUUCCUUCCUUUCUUUCUACUUUUAAUGCAUUCCUAUUCGAUGGUAGAGAGCAAGGCAAGGAAAAUGAUAACAAGCUUCAGAAAAAUCACCUCUGUCAAAGGUCUAGCACAUCCCAUAAUUAAUGCCCGCCUCCAAGGCCUGAGAUGCUUCGUAGCGAGGAAGCAGGUGAGUGCUAAACCAGACUCUCUCCAAUGAAGUUUCGAAGAUGAGUCUCACUGUCCCCUCUGUCUCAGGUGACACAUCUGCACUUCUCCAGGGGGGAUCUGUGUUGUGAAAACAACUGAGUCACAAAGGAAAUUUUAAUAUUUAGUCUAAUGACAUUGGGGUAAUUCAACAACAAGAGAAAUACAAAAUUACAUUGCAUGACCAGACAGAAAAAGAUCUGGUAGGUGUUUUCUGGCCAGUGGCCAGGUAAACGCUGAUUAUAUAAGCAAGUCCUUGACCUAAUACCCUACAGGAUGCUAAGGAGCCCAAGAGGCCCACCCUUAGCCUGUUGAUCUGACUCCAAGGAGACCCUGUGGCAAACUCCCUGAGCCUUUGACAGUCUCUGCUUACCAAAGAGUUUUGAAGGGCUUCCCUGUGACCUUCAUGGCAAAAGAAAGAUUAAAAGAAAGUUUUUCCUCUUGAGAUAACUGGCAAAGCUCUUACUAUAGACAUUGCUGCUGCCUUCCGUGAUGAGGAGGCCCUGACCUGAGGACCCAGUGAGCCACACGUGGCUAUGCAGCCCAGGAGUGCCCACUGACUAUGCAUUUACAGGCAUGCAUUUUUCUGGAGCAAGUGGUGCACCAACUCUGUCCAACAGAAAUACAGCCCAAGUCACAUGCAUUUUUUUUUCUAACUCCCGAUAGCCACAUUUUAAGAAGCAAAAAGGAAACAGGUGGAAAUUAUUUAAUAGCAGUUUAAUCUAAUAUUAUUAUUGUUUUGAUGUGCAAAUGAUGUAGGGUGUCAGGAAAACAUUUUCCUCUAUUCUUUGUUACCUAUUCUAAAUCUGCUGUCUUUUACACGCCCAGCACAUCAUCAUUAUUACUAGCCACAGUUCAAGCUUUCCGUAGCCACAUGUGCCUAGUGGCCACCAGCCGGGCAGCACAGCCCAAGAAAUGUUCCAGAAUCCUUACAAGUGCUCUCCUGACUGUGACAGGAGAAAAAGGAUAAGAUUACCUCAGGUUUUCCCCAAAAGAAAAACAGACUUUAGCCAAGUUACCUAAGGAGACAGCCAGGGAUGUUCUUAUUCCAUAAGUAAUAGCGGUUCAAAUAGCCUUUAUCAACUUUCUAAACACAGUGUCCACUGUCCUCAGCAACUGUUGCUUCUCUGACGAGCUGUUUGUUAAAAAACAACAAGACAACCAACCAUGCUGAUUUGGUGCUGAAAUAAAAUUACACCCUCACUUUUAUGACAAACCCUGAGACUCAUGUGAGAGACUUACACCCCUCACUUCUAUGACUAAUCCCAAGACUCUUAAUGUGACACUUAGCCAAAGAGAAUUUACCUCAACCCAUAGUUCUUCAUCCCUGUGGCUGCCCCGUUCUAAAGCAGUAGAACUCAGAGACAGGAAAGGCGCAGGAAACCGCAGGCCGAGCCACAUACCCGGUCUGUGUGGCAUUGCCGAGAAAGGAUCUCUGAGCUUGUGGCCAUCCAGCCUCUAUGUGGUGAAUGGCGAGCAGCUUUCUCUUCAGCUUUGUCCAAGGUUGAGAGAGGAAAAGAGCCCUGAACUCCCUCAGAGUCACUUUCAGAAUGGCUUCCUCCUGCGUGGUUAAUCCUUCUAAAGGGCUGCUGCCUCCUAAGAACAGCCUUGGGUCUGGCAGGGCCUUCAAGGUCAGUUCUGGUCACACACCCAAGGGAUGGAUAUAGUAUGGAGACAGGAGAUGAUAAGGUAUCAGAGGCAAUCAGGCAGUGGUGGCUCACACCUUUGAACCCAGCACUCAGGCAGGUGGAUCUCAGUGAGUUUGAGGUCAGCCCGGUCUAUGAAGCAAGUUCUGGGACAGCUACAGAGACAAAUACUGGGUGGAGGCAGGGGCAGAGGUGGGGAGGAGUACCAGAGGCACCUAGCUAUUUCAACAUUGUGUGUGACAUCCUGGCCAUGGAAGCAAGUCUCUCUCCAGAGAUUUGUUGUUGUUGUUGUUGUUGUUGUUGUUGUUGUUGUUGUUGCUUUAACAUUUUCAUCUGUGGGUAUUCAAGGGUCUAGCCUGUUAAGAAUGGCUGUGCCCAGUGGCCAUUUUCUUUACAGCCCAGACAUUCCUGGGACUACAACACUUCCAGAACCAAAAGAGAACAUCAGUCUGCCUAAGAUUCUUGGUGUAAGCUUAGUUGGUGCUGAAGUAGAUUGCAUAAGCAUUUAAUGGCAUUUAGUUGUCCACUGAAUGCAUAUCCUUGGCUGAACACCAUGAAAAUUACCAAAUAAAAACUUUCAAAAAUUUUAGGAAAGAUCAUCAUGCAAUCUACAAAGAGAAGGUCCAGUCUCUGCAGUGCUGAGGUACUGAGGCCAGGGAGAUGAUGUCCUGU